rnacentral:rRNA from 1 species
GUGGGGAAUAUUGGGCAAUGGAGGCAACUCUGACCCAGCAACGCCGCGUGAAUGAUGAAGGUCUUCGGAUUGUAAAGUUCUGUGAUGGGGGACGAAGAAAGUGACGGUACCCCAACAGCAAGCCACGGCUAACUACGUGCCAGCAGCCGCGGUAAUACGUAGGUGGCAAGCGUUGUCCGGAAUGACUGGGCGUAAAGGGUGCGUAGGUGGCUUUAUAAGUUAGCAGUGAAAUUCCGGGGCUUAACUCCGGCGCUACUGCUAAGACUGUAGAGCUCGAGUGCGGGAGAGGUAAGUGGAAUUCCUAGUGUAGCGGUGGAAUGCGUAGAUAUGAGGAGGAACACCAGUGGCGAAGGCGACUUACUGGACCGUAACUGACACUGAGGCACGAAAGCGUGGGGAGCAAACAGGAUUAGAAACCCUGGUAGUCC